AACGAACGCUGGCGGCAUGCCUAACACAUGCAAGUCGAACGAGACCUUCGGGUCUAGUGGCGCACAGGUGCGUAACGUGUGGGAACCUGCCCUUAGGUUCGGAAUAACACCCCGUCAGGGGUGCUAAUACCGGGUAAUGUCUUCGAACCAAAGAUUUAUCGCCUUUGGAUGAGCCGGCGUUGUAUUAGCUAGUUGGUAGUGUAAAAGCCUAUCAAGGCGAGGAUCCAUAGCGGGUCUGAGAGAAUGAUCAGCCACACUGGGACUGAGACACGGCGCAGACUCCUAGGGGAGGCAGCAGUGGGGAAUAUUGGACAAUGGGCGAAAGCCUGAUCCAGCAAUGCCGCGUGAGUGAUUAAGGCGUGAGGGUUGUGAAGCUCUUUUACCCGGGAUGAUAAUGACAGUACCGGGAGAAUAAGCUCCGGCUAACUCCGUG
rnacentral:rRNA from 1 species